ACUCCUACGGGAGGCAGCAGUGGGGAAUAUUGGACAAUGGGCGCAAGCCUGAUCCAGCCAUGCCGCGUGAGUGAUGAAGGCCCUAGGGUUGUAAAGCUCUUUCACCGGUGAAGAUAAUGACGGUAACCGGAGAAGAAGCCCCGGCUAACUUCGUGCCAGCAGCCGCGGUAAUACGAAGGGGGCUAGCGUUGUUCGGAUUUACUGGGCGUAAAGCGCACGUAGGCGGACUAUUAAGUCAGGGGUGAAAUCCCGGGGCUCAACCCCGGAACUGCCUUUGAUACUGGUAGUCUUGAGUUCGAGAGAGGUGAGUGGAAUUUCGAGUGUAGAGGUGAAAUUCGUAGAUAUUCGGAGGAACACCAGUGGCGAAGGCGGCUCACUGGCUCGAUACUGACGCUGAGGUGCGAAAGCGUGGGGAGCAAACAGGAUUAGAAACCCUGGUAGUCCC
rnacentral:rRNA from 1 species